rnacentral:rRNA from 1 species
UAGGGAAUCUUCCACAAUGGACGCAAGUCUGAUGGAGCAACGCCGCGUGAGUGAAGAAGGUUUUCGGACCGUAAAGCUCUGUUGUUGGUGAAGAAGGAUAGAGGUAGUAACUGGCCUUUAUUUGACGGUAAUCAACCAGAAAGUCACGGCUAACUACGUGCCAGCAGCCGCGGUAAUACGUAGGUGGCAAGCGUUGUCCGGAUUUAUUGGGCGUAAAGCGAGCGCAGGCGGAAGAAUAAGUCUGAUGUGAAAGCCCUCGGCUUAACCGAGGAUGUUGCGAAUCGGAACUU